rnacentral:rRNA from 1 species
UACAGAGGGGGCAAGCGUUGUUCGGAAUUACUGGGCGUAAAGCGCGCGUAGGUGGUUCGUUAAGUUGGAUGUGAAAGCCCCGGGCUCAACCUGGGAACUGCAUUCAAAACUGUCGAGCUAGAGUAUGGUAGAGGGUGGUGGAAUUUCCUGUGUAGCGGUGAAAUGCGUAGAUAUCCGGAGGAACACCAGUGGCGAAGGCGACUUUCUGGCCUGUUCUUGACGCUGAGGCGCGAAAGCUAGGGGAGCAAACGGG